rnacentral:pre_miRNA from 2 species
UGGCAGUGUGGUUAGCUGGUUUGUAUGCCACACAAACAACCACUAUCUGCACUUCCAUG